rnacentral:lncRNA from 1 species
UCAAUGAAUUACACAUAGCAUCAAACGGGAUCGAAAAGCUCUUAAAUAAGAUCAACCCACAUAAAGCCACCGGCCCAGAUAACAUCAGUGGCCGCUUACUGAAAGAAAUGCAGACAGAAAUUGCACCAAUUUUAUGCUUAAUUUUUAACAAAUCUUACAACACUGGUAUUACACCUAACGACUGGAAACACGCUAGAGUCGCACCAGCAUAUAAAAAGGGGGAUAAGCAUAAACCGGUCAAUUAUAGACCUAUCUCAUUAACUUGUAUUUGCUGCAAGUUAAUGGAACACAUAGUAACAUCACAUAUUAUGAAACAUCUCGAAUCAAAUAUCAUCUUGUACGACCUCCAACAAGGCUUUCGGCACUCUCGAUCUUGCAAGACACAACUUCUCUCCUUCAUCCAAGAACUUCAAUCUACAAACAAUUCAAAUACACAAACAGAC